GGUGAUUUCAUGCCUCUUUGGGUUCUGGAAGUCGUCGAGGACCCACUUGAAUUAGAAAGUUCUAUUGGAGAAAAAAGAGAACCACGCCCCUGCUGGGUCAUCACUGAUUUGAUAUUUUAAUUAUAUCAGAAGAACCGGAGCAAAGGAAAAAAAAUAUUUUUUACCUCUUUCCACCUUCCCCUUGAAACCGAGAACACACCCCGACACCCCCGGCGGUCGACCAGUCCACGCCACCACUCACCCAUGCCCCAAAAACCUAACCAAGUUUCUACCUCAGGCACUGCGCCACCCCCCGCCCCGCCAACCACAUAGGCCGCAGGAGCGGGAGGAGGCGCCGCCGCCGCAACCGG